AAUUUUGGUCAAUGGGCGAAAGUCUGACCCAGCAACGCCGCGUGAGGGAUGGAGUAUUUCGGUAUGUAAACCUCGAAAGAAUGGGAAGAAUAAAUGACGGUACCAUUUAUAAGCUCCGGCUAACUACGUGCCAGCAGCCGCGGCAAUAGGUAGGGAGCAAGCGUUGUUCGGAUUUACUGGGCGUAAAGGGCGCGUAGGCGGCGCGGUAAGUCACUUGUGAAAUCUCUGAGCUUAACUCAGAACGGCCAAGUGAUACUGCUGUGCUAGAGUGCGGAAGAGGCAACCGGAAUUCUUGGUGUAGCGGUGAAAUGCGUAGGUAUCAAGAGGAACGCCUGAGGCGAAGGCGGGUCGCUGGGCCGACACGGACGCUGAUGCGCGAAAG
rnacentral:rRNA from 1 species